UAGCAGGACCCCAAGUGGUAGUCGUUAUUAUUGGGCUUAAAGUGUUCGUAGCCUGCCAUGCAAGUCCGCUGUGAAAUCCACGCGCUCAACGUGUGGGCGUGCAGCGGAUACUGUAUGGCUAGGGACCGGACGGCGUUGAGGCUAUUCCCGGGGUAGGAGUGAAAUCCUAAAAUCCUGGGAGGAGCACCUGUGGCGAAAGCGCUCAACGAGUACGGAUCCGACGGUGAGGAACGAAAGCCAGGGGAGCAAA
rnacentral:rRNA from 1 species